UUAUCGGAGUCUUAUCCGACUGACCAGACCGAUUUUGUCAGUCGGAUAAACGCCCCUUCAUCAGCCAGCAUCGCU
rnacentral:tRNA from 1 species